UUAAGUAUGUUAAUAGCGGUAGCAGUAAUACGGAAGUACUGACAUGUUUCCUUGAUCUUCUACAUAAAACAAUCUGUGGUGGAGGGCUGUUUCCGAUGCAGACAGAACAAAGCAACCUUCCUUACAAUUAGGUAUGGAUCCUGAGUUCCAGAAGAUAAAAUAUGAGCAGAAAUAAAGUGAUCCACUUUCCAGGAAUGUACCAUAAAGCCCUGCCAUUAGUGACCCUCCACUAGGUGGAUGAAGAUAAGCAUGGCAAUCUUGGCAACUAUGUGGUAAAGGCGGUGGAGUUACAAGGCAGAAGGAGUCUGAGUACCUGAAUCACUACCUGGACAAGUGUCCUCUGCCGAUCAAUAACUCCUAUUUUGGACUUUGAAAAAAGAAUAAACUUUUGUUAUGUUUGAUAUAAUGAA